CAUUCCUGGUUAUAUCAUAACGAAGUAUAAGAGUUCUUUACAAGCAGUUUUGGAUUUGUUGAGAUAGAAGCUAUCAGCUUCAUAGUCUAAGAUAGAAAUUUAAAGUAUAAAUACAGUUAUUCUAGCGAAACAAAAGACUUCUGCAAGGGGCUUGUCUUAGUCCACAAAAGGGGUGGAGAUGGCCUGUAAUAUUAUAAUACAAGAAGUAUUAGUACUAUAAUUAAGUUAGAGAUCUUGCAAAAGUAAUAAAAUCUGAAUUUGGUUAUUUUAAGUUGUUGAUAUAGAAACUUACGAAGAAGUUAGGAUCCCUGCCAGAUUUGGUGCUGGAGCAACAUUACUGGCAUCAUUAGUAAAAUGGUUAUUAGAAAGGUAUUUUUGAAGAAAUAAAUUACUAAUAAGUAAAUCUAAUUACUAUUAUGAGCAGGCCC
rnacentral:lncRNA from 1 species